AUUGAACGCUGGCGGCAGGCCUAAUACAUGCAAGUCGAACGGUAACAGGAAGAAGCUUGCUUCUUUGCUGACGAGUGGCGGACGGGUGAGUAAUGUCUGGGAAACUGCCUGAUGGAGGGGGAUAACUACUGGAAACGGUAGCUAAUACCGCAUAACGUCGCAAGACCAAAGAGGGGGACCUUCGGGCCUCUUGCCAUCGGAUGUGCCCAGAUGGGAUUAGCUAGUAGGUGGGGUAACGGCUCACCUAGGCGACGAUCCCUAGCUGGUCUGAGAGGAUGACCAGCCACACUGGAACUGAGACACGGUCCAGACUCCUACGGGAGGCAGCAGUGGGGAAUAUUGCACAAUGGGCGCAAGCCUGAUGCAGCCAUGCCGCGUGUAUGAAGAAGGCCUUCGGGUUGUAAAGUACUUUCAGCGGGGAGGAAGGGAGUAAAGUUAAUACCUUUGCUCAUUGACGUUACCCGCAGAAGGAGCACCGGCUAACUCCGUG
rnacentral:rRNA from 1 species